rnacentral:lncRNA from 1 species
CCAGUUUUCUCUUUCAUUUUCAGAGGGAACUUCUAAGCAUGCAAUAAAUGACACUGUUAUUCAUGUGCCAACAUCUAGUGCUAAAUUAAUUUCAUAAAUUAUGUCAAAUGAAGUAGAUUAUAUCUUGCAAGAGUCUACAACUCUCUAAUGUCAUUUAUCAUGGCGUAUAGUUUAAUUGAAUACAAUUUUUAUUUAUAUUCUGUUUCUCUCUUCCAGCCUCUGUGAAUUCUGGAUCUUCUUUCCUCCCUGAGUCAGUCCUAAGAUGUGAAUAAUUAGGUAGUAGUAGACAACUGAGUUAAUGAGCAUAACAAAAGACGUGGAAAGCCAUUUGAUACCCUCCAAACACCUUGGAGAGUCAAGACAUCUUUAUUUGCUUAGAAAGGAUAUGGGAAAAUACACCAACCCCUGUACUGAGAAUUUACCAUCUACCAGGUACGCUAUAUAAUUUCAAUAUCUGUCUUAUUUAAUUAACAUAUUAAUAUCCUGAGGUAUUAUUAUUUCCGUUUUUACUUGAAGAAUCAGAGGGUCAUCCACAUGCAGAGUUGUGAUUUGAGGCCAGGCUAGUUGGAUAUCAACUGUGUAUUUUCAUUCACUCCCUGUUUUCACAGAUUUAGCAUUUAUUUCUGACACCUUG